AUCCAGCUGAUGAGUCCCAAAUAGGACGAAACACGCGUCAAACUGGAU
rfam:Schistosoma rodhaini strain Burundi genome assembly, scaffold: SROB_scaffold0020823